CCGAGUUCGGACGAGGACCGCACACGGUUCAUCAUUUUAUUUUUUUUAACGAGACGCUUGUGUAACCGAGGAUUAGCAGUGAGCUAAAUUUUCUUGGUCGAUCGAGAGGUCCGCUCGUUAAAAAUAUGAAGGCUUAGGAUUUUGUUCACCGUCAUUCAACUACGUUUCAAGAUACCAACACGACAUCGGAACGUCUUGUACUCUCUUACCAAGCAAAGAGAAGAUGAAGCAAGAGGCGAGGAUGAGAUCUCGAAGAGCGUAUACAUAUAGUAGUACGAGAAGCUGCACCGCCCGAAGGAAGGAAAGCGGUUCGAGUUCUCCGCUCGUCUCACUCUCUCGACCACGGUUCUCCUCGUUCUUACUUGGUGCACGUGCAUGUACGCGUGCGUGGCCAUCGUUCUCGCGAUCCGAGACGUCAGAAGACGAAGGGAGCUAAGAAAGAAGCCUCGACUCGCCACCAGGAUUCUCGGAGAUCCGGAGAUGGUAGCAGCGUCAGGGCCCGAGGCGGCGCGAGAUGAGCCCUUUGAAGCAUCCUGGCGUGCGUUCCGUCAUGGCUACUUACACUGCGUGGUACUACGCGUACAUGCGCCGACGUGUGUUGGCAGGACAUCGCGGUAGCCACGCCGUAGAGAUGGGAUUGGACCGAUAGGCUGCGUGUCGAAAAUAGAAAUAUAAUCUGAUAGGCUCAUUGUGCCUCGAGCCACUAUCUGCCACUACCAACGACGUAUCGUACAUUGCUACCUCGGUCAUCUUUCUCCUUGUCCUUCUAUCCCUUUC